rnacentral:lncRNA from 1 species
CAGAAGCACACUAAUUGCAUGUUGUAUCCUUCCUUUCUAGCUCAAUUAUGCUUCCACCUUCCAGCCUUGCCUGUCUUGUGUCCUACUUGUACUAUCAUGCUAUGCCAGGAAAGGAGCAGUCCUCUAAACCAAGCUGCAUCUAGAAUGAGCAACCAGAAGCAAUGAACAUAUUUGCUUUGCACUAAUGCUCUAGAAAGGGCAGUAUAAUGGCUCUCUGAAAAUAAUUCAAGCACAUAGAAGAAAAUGACUAAUUUUAUUCAGAAAGGGGUCUUUAGAGCUACUGAACCAAAACAUGAAGAAACUGGGCAAGGCUGUGGAACAUCAUUUUUCU